rnacentral:rRNA from 1 species
CAGCCGCCGCGGGAAUACGAAGGGGGCUAGCGUUGUUCGGAUUUACUGGGCGUAAAGCGCACGUAGGCGGCUUGGUAAGUUAGAGGUGAAAGCCCAGGGCUCAACCCUGGAAUUGCCUUUAAGACUGCCGAGCUAGUAGGUGAGAGAGGUGAGUGGAAUUCCGAGUGUAGAGGUGAAAUUCGUAGAUAUUCGGAAGAACACCAGUGGCGAAGGCGGCUCACUGGCUCAUUCUAGACGCUGAGGUGCGAAAGCGUGGGGAGCAAACAGGAUUAGAUACCCCCGUAGUCCCUGUCUCUUAUAC